rfam:Sporolactobacillus laevolacticus DSM 442 Contig001, whole genome shotgun sequence.
AUCUCGCUCCAACCGCUCAGAAAAGGCUUUAAUGUCUUUAAAGGCAGCCUUUCUCUGGCGAGUCUGAGAAUGACA